rnacentral:rRNA from 1 species
UACGUAGGGUGCAAGCGUUAAUCGGAAUUACUGGGCGUAAAGCGUGCGCAGGCGGUGAUGUAAGACAGAUGUGAAAUCCCCGGGCUCAACCUGGGAACUGCAUUUGUGACUGCAUCGCUGGAGUGCGGCAGAGGGGGAUGGAAUUCCGCGUGUAGCAGUGAAAUGCGUAGAUAUGCGGCGGAACACCGAUGGCGAAGGCAGCCCCCUGGGCUGAGAUUGACGCUCAGGCACGAAAGCGUGGGGAGCAAACAGG